rnacentral:rRNA from 1 species
GACAGAGGAUGCAAGCGUUAUCCGGAAUGAUUGGGCGUAAAGCGUCUGUAGGUGGCUUUUUAAGUCCGCCGUCAAAUCCCAGGGCUCAACCCUGGACAGGCGGUGGAAACUACCAAGCUGGAGUACGGUAGGGGCAGAGGGAAUUUCCGGUGGAGCGGUGAAAUGCGUAGAGAUGUGGAGGAACACCGAUGGCGAAGGCAGCCCCCUGGGUCAAGAUUGACGCUCAUGCACGAAAGCGUGGGGAGCAAACAGGG